GAUGAACGCUGGCGGCGUGCCUAAUACAUGCAAGUCGAGCGAACAGAUGAGGAGCUUGCUCCUCUGACGUUAGCGGCGGACGGGUGAGUAACACGUGGAUAACCUACCUAUAAGACUGGGAUAACUUCGGGAAACCGGAGCUAAUACCGGAUAAUAUAUUGAACCGCAUGGUUCAAUAGUUAAAGACGGUUUUGCUGUCACUUAUAGCUGGAUCCGCGCCGCAUUAGCUAGUUGGUAAGGUAACGGCUUACCAAGGCAACGAUGCGUAGCCGACCUGAGAGGGUGAUCGGCCACACUGGAACUGAGACACGGUCCAGACUCCUACGGGAGGCAGCAGUAGGGAAUCUUCAGCAAUGGGCGAAAGCCUGACGGAGCAACGCCGCGUGAGUGAUGAAGGUCUUCGGAUCGUAAAACUCUGUUAUUAGGGAAGAACAAAUGUGUAAGUAACUAUGCACGUCUUGACGGUACCUAAUCAGAAAGCCACGGCUAACUACGUG
rnacentral:rRNA from 1 species